UCGAAUUCGUUCGGCAACUUAGUGGCCC
rnacentral:sRNA from 1 species